rnacentral:rRNA from 1 species
GGGGAAUCUUGCGCAAUGCGCGAAAGCGUGACGCAGCAACGCCGCGUGGGGGAAGACGGCCUUCGGGUUGUAAACCCCUUUCAGGAGGGACGAAGGUUCACCGGUGAAUAGCCGUGUGGAUUGACGGUACCUCCACAAGAAGGUCCGGCUAACUACGUGCCAGCAGCCGCGGUAAUACGUAGGGACCAAGCGUUGUCCGGAAUCAUUGGGCGUAAAGCGCGCGUAGGUGGCUUCGUAAGUCCGUUGUGAAAGUCAAAGGCUCAACCUUUGAAAGCCGAUGGAUACUGCGGAGCUAGAGUACGGAAGAGGCGAGUGGAAUUCCUGGUGUAGCGGUGGAAUGCGCAGAUAUCAGGAGGAACACCAAUAGCGAAGGCAGCUCGCUGGGACGUUACUGACACUAAGGCGCGAAAGCGUGGGGAGCGAACA